UCGCCAAGAGCUGUAGAACGUCUGUCGUUCGUGAGAAUCAAUUUAUUAAUUAAAUUUAUCAAUUCAGUGCCAAUGAAAUGCUGAAUUUUACAAAUGGAAUAGUACUACUUCUAAGUGUAGUGAAACAUCAAAGCGAAUUUGAUACAAAAGUUAAGUUCCCUGAGCUCAGAGAUGCAAUAGGUCAAAUUAAUACCGCCAUGGGCGAUUAUAAUGGAAACGCCAAACACAAUGUAGAUACGGCCAUGCGUAUAAAUGAAAAUGCUCGAUCAAUUUACCAGCAAUCCGUUGCCCCUGUAUUCGACUGGUGUGGGGAGGCCAUUGAAAAGUUCAACACCGCACUUCCCCAAAUAAGAAGUGAAAACCUUUCAACAGAAGACAAGGACCUCAUAUGGCAGGUCACUGUAACAACCGUAAAUGACGGCCUAGAGAAAAGUUUUCAUUCACUGGAAUUAUUAAACGAUGUUCAAAAUAAUUCGUCCAAUGUCAUGAACCUACUUUCAACAAUUUUGCAUGAUACGUACGAUGACUUUGGUCCAAGUGGCUACUAUGGCAAAAUGAAAAACGAUGCACAGAACAAAAUCAAUGACUUAGAGCAAACCUUAAAAAAACAUCUUCAAAUAGGAUUUAUUCCCUUUGGGAAUAUUGGGAGUGCCGUUAUUGUUAAAGAAUACGUCAAACAGAUCAAUGAGUGGAAAAAUAAAAAAUUGGAUAUUGAAUCUAAAUUCGAUCGAAUCAUACCGAAAAUUCAACAUGCUAGCCAAGUAGCAAAAAUGUGUGUUAAUCCAUAUUUGGAAGAGGACAAAACAAACUUGGUUACACUUAGGGGCAAGGCUGGUGCUGUAGACAAUUGCCUCUAUUGGACGGAUAGUCCUGUGCAUUUCUGGUAUACUUGUUUAAAUUUCAAAAAGGCCGACUCUAUAAUCUAAUCAAAGAAUGUAGCCGCUUCCAAUGCAACUAUCUCCCAGAAUCUUAGCACUUUUAGCCGGAAAAGUGCUACCGAUUCGGAAAUGUGCAAAAUUUCUGUGCGUAUCUGGGAAUGAAAUCAGAAACUUUUGCCAACACAUUGGCAGGCGUGAGAAAUGUAACGCAAUGUACAAAGUCCAGAUAUUGAACUACUUGAAAUCGAAUAAUCUGCGCAUGACAUAAUCUUUGGGCUUAAGAUGCAAACGAGACGUGGCCUGGUUCUUAGUUGAAUAUAUCUGGUUGAUAACAAAAGGCCAGCAGUGAACAGGACAUCCUACUUAACAGCAGAGAGCCGAGAUUCAACUCUAGAAAAGGCAAACAAAAAGUCCUUAAGUUAUGUUGGCUGGCAAAUGUUGAGCGGAAAACAAUGAGGCUCCUCUGGGAGGACGACUACAAAAGGUCCUCAAAUUGAGAUUCAGAUUCGAAGCAUUUAUGCAAGACCCAUCAAGUACACAGCGAA
rnacentral:misc_RNA from 1 species